rnacentral:rRNA from 1 species
GGUAGCUAAAUGCGGAAGAGAUAAGUGCUGAAAGCAUCUAAGCACGAAACUUGCCCCGAGAUGAGUUCUCCCUGACUCCUUGAGAGUCCUGAAGGAACGUUGAAGACGACGACGUUGAUAGGCCGGGUGUGUAAGCGCAGCGAUGCGUUGAGCUAACUGGUACUAAUGAACCGUGAGGCUUAACCUUACAACGCCGAAG